GGUGUGGUAGUCCAAUACAAGACCUCUGAUUUCGACUCAGAAAAUCGCGGUUUAAACCCACGGCACACCU
rnacentral:tRNA from 1 species